rnacentral:ncRNA from 1 species
GAACUUCACUAGGGGAGUCAUGACUUGACUGAGAGAAGCGCAGAGCUUUGACCCUUAUAACCUGAUCUAGCUCAUACUAGCGUAGGGAAGUGAAGCGAGUUAUCG